rnacentral:tRNA from 1 species
UGGGAAGUAGUCUAGUGGUAAGGCAACAGAUUUUGAGUUUGUAAACAUAGGUUCAAUUCCUAUUUUCCCAA